UGGGGAAUUUUGGACAAUGGGCGAAAGCCUGAUCCAGCAAUGCCGCGUGUGUGAAGAAGGCCUUCGGGUUGUAAAGCACUUUUGUCCGGAAAGAAAUCCUUGGCUCUAAUACAGUCGGGGGAUGACGGUACCGGAAGAAUAAGCACCAGCUAACUACGUGCCAGCAGCCGCGGUAAUACGUAGGGUGCAAGCGUUAAUCGGAAUUACUGGGCGUAAAGCGUGCGCAGGCGGUUUGCUAAGACCGAUGUGAAAUCCCCGGGCUCAACCUGGGAACUGCAUUGGUGACUGGCAGGCUAGAGUAUGGCAGAGGGGGGUAGAAUUCCGCGUGUAGCAGUGAAAUGCGUAGAGAUGUGGAGGAAUACCGAUGGCGAAGGCAGCCCCCUGGGCCAAUACUGACGCUCAUGCACGAAAGCGUGGGGAGCAAACAGGAUUAGAUACCCUGGUAGUCCACGCCCUAAACGAUGUCAACUAGUUGUUGGGGAUUCAUUUUCCUUAGUAACGUAGCUAACGCGUGAAGUUGACCGCCUGGGGAGUACGGUCGCAAGAUUAAAAGCUCAAAUGAAUUUGACGGGGUCAUAGCUGUUUUCCUG
rnacentral:rRNA from 1 species